UCACUUCAGCAGCAGAUAUACUAAAACUGGAAUCAUACAGAGAAGAUUAGCAUGGCUUCUGCAUAAGGAUGACAUGCAAAUUCAUGAAGCACUCCAUAUUUUU